rnacentral:rRNA from 1 species
GACUCUCUGGUCUGUAAUUGACGCUGAGGCUCGAAGCGUGGGAGCAAACAGGAUUAGAUACCUGGUAGUCCACGCCGUAAACGAUGAGUGCUAAGUGUUGGAGGGUUCCGCCUUUCAGUGCUGCAGUUAACGCAUUAAGCACUCCGCUGGGGAGUACGGCCGCAAGGCUGAAACUCAAAGGAAUUGACGGGGGCCCGCACAAGCGGUGGAGCAUGUGGUUUAAUUCGAAGCAACGCGAAGAACCUUACCAGGUCUUGACAUCCUUUGACCACUCUAGAGAUAGAGCUUUCCCUUCGGGGACAAAGUGACAGGUGGUGCAUGGUUGUCGUCAGCUCGUGUCGUGAGAUGUUGGGUUAAGUCCCGCAACGAGCGCAACCCUUAUUGUUAGUUGCCAUCAUUCAGUUGGGCACUCUAGCGAGACUGCCGGUGACAAACCGGAGGAAGGUGGGGAUGACGUCAAAUCAUCAUGCCCCUUAUGACCUGGGCUACACACGUGCUACAAUGGACGGUACAAUGAGUCGCGAGACCGCGAGGUUUAGCUAAUCUCUUAAAGCCGUUCUCAGUUCGGAUUGUAGGCUGCAACUCGCCUACAUGAAGCCGGAAUCGCUAGUAAUCGUGGAUCAGCACGCCACGGUGAAUACGUUCCCGGGCCUUGUACACACCGCCCGUCACACCACGAGAGUUUGUAACACCCAAAGUCGGUGAGGUAACCUUUUGGAGCCAGCCGCCUAAGGUGGGAUAGAUGAUUGGGGUGAAGUCGUAACAAGGUAACCA